rnacentral:rRNA from 1 species
GACAGAGGUGCCAAGCGUUAGGCGGAAUCACUGGGCUUAAAGCGUGUGUAGGUGGAUUUGUAAGUACCUUGUGAAAUCCCAUGGCUCAACCAUGGAACUGCUCGGUAUACUGCGAAUCUUGAGCCACUUAGGGGCUACCGGAACAAAUGGUGGAGCGGUGAAAUGCGUAGAUAUCGUUUGGAACGCCAAUGGUGAAAACAGGUUGCUGGAGUGCGCUGACGCUGAGACACGAAAGCCAGGGGAGCAAACGGG